GGGGCGGGGAGUCGGCAGGGCGGGCGCCGCGAUCGCGGAGGCGCGGGCGUCCGCGCGGCUCUUUAUAGCGCGCCCGGCACCCGCUUCUCCAGACUCGGCUCCCCGCGCCCCUUCCCGCUCUUUCCCCAGGGGCGCAUUCAGCCCAACCUCUCCAGCCUUCGGGGCGCGACGAAUCCUCCCGACCUCGCCAGCAACUCGUGGACAUGGCGUCUCCCACCGGACCCCGGGUGACCUGCCCCGAGGCCGCUGUCUCUAGGACACUCCUCCUCGGCUGGGUCCUUGUCCAGGUGGCCGGAGCCUCAGGCACUACAGGUGUGGUGGUAGCAUAUAAUAUAACUUGGAAAUCAACGAAUUUCAAGACAAUUUUGGAGUGGGAACCCAAACCCAUCAAUCAUGUCUACACUGUUCAGAUAAGCCAUAGAUUAGGAAACUGGAAAAGCAAAUGCUACUCCAUCACAGACACAGAGUGUGACGUCACUGAUGAGAUUGUGAAAGACGUGAAGCAGACGUACUCAGCGCGGGUCCUUUCCACACCGGCAAAUGCCACCGGUUACACUGGGGAGCCCAAGUACACAAACUCCCCGGAGUUCAUUCCUUACUUAGAGACAAACCUCGGACGGCCAGCAAUUCAGAGUUUUGAACAAAUUGGGACAAAACUGAAUGUGACAGUACAGGAUCCUCGGACCUUAGUCAGAAGGAAUGGCACAUUCCUGAGCCUCCGGGAUGUCUUUGGCGAGGACUUAAGUUACACACUUUCCUACUGGAAAGCUUCAAGUACAGGAAAGAAAAUGGUCAAGACAGACACUAAUGAGUUUUUGAUUGAUGUGGAUAAAGGACAAAACUACUGUUUCAAUGUUCAAGCCGUGAUUGCAUCACGAAAAGCUAACCAGAAGAGUCCCGAAAGCCCCAUUGAGUGCACCAGCCCCGAGAAGGGUGUGUUCAAAGAAGGAAAGGACUCUCCUCUCUGGUCCUGCACCCUCUGGGCCAUCGUACCCACAGCCCUCACAUCCAUCUUUCUAAAGCCAACUCGAGUUCCGCUGCCUCUGUCUUUGUGCACAUCCCGACCGCUGCCUCCCAGGUCUCUUCUGUAUCUGCAGAAAUGCGUCCUUUGAGAGCCAUUGCAAUUGCCACCUCCACUCGGAAGCCUUCUUAUUGCCCUAGCCAGUUAUCAUCUCAGCUGAAUUCUGACAUGUUCUUCAUCAUCGGAGCAGUGGUGUUCGUGGCCAUCAUCUUCAUCAUCACCCUGGCCCUGUGUCUGUACAAGCGCAGGAAGGCCAGAGCAAGGGAAAGUGGCAAGGAGAACUCCCCGCUCCGUGUUGCAUAAAG